GACGAACGCUGGCGGCGUGCUUAACACAUGCAAGUCGAGCGAUGAAGCACCUUCGGGUGUGGAUUAGCGGCGAACGGGUGAGGAACACGUGAGGAAUCUGCCUUCCACUCUGGGAUAACUCCGGGAAACCGGGGCUAAUACCGGAUACUUUCAACUGGCGGCAUCGCCGGUUGAAGAAAGUUUUUCGGUGGAAGAUGACCUCGCGGCCUAUCAGCUUGUUGGGGGGGGAAAGGCUCACCAAGGCGACGACGGGUAGCCGGCCUGAGAGGGCGACCGGCCACACUGGGACUGAGACACGGCCCAGACUCCUACGGGAGGCAGCAGUGGGGAAUAUUGGGCAAUGGAGGAAACUCUGACCCAGCGACGCCGCGUGAGGGAUGAAGGCCUUCGGGUUGUAAACCUCUUUCAGCAGGGAAUAAGCGAAAGUGAAGGUACCUGCAGAAGAAGCACCGGCUAACUAUGUGCCAGCCGCCGCCGUAA
rnacentral:rRNA from 1 species